rnacentral:rRNA from 1 species
AAUACAUCGGAACGUACCUUAUCGUGGGGGAUAACGCAGCGAAAGUUGCGCUAAUACCGCAUACGAUCUACGGAUGAAAGCGGGGGACCGGAAGGCCUCGCGCGAUUGGAGCGGCCGACGUCAGAUUAGGUAGUUGGUGGGGUAAGGGCUCACCAAGCCGACGAUCUGUANCUGGUCUGAAAGGACGACCAGCCACACUGGACUGAGACACGGCCCAGACUCCUACGGGAGGCAGCAGUGGGGAAUUUUGGACAAUGGGCGCAAGCCUGAUCCAGCCAUUCCGCGUGCAGGACGAAGGCCUUCGGGUUGUAAACUGCUUUUGUACGGAACGAAAAGGCUCUGGUUAAUACCUGGGGCUCAUGACGGUACCGUAAGAAUAAGCACCGGCUAACUACGUGCCAGCAGCCGCGGUAAUACGUAGGGUGCAAGCGUUAAUCGGAAUUACUGGGCGUAAAGCGUGCGCAGGCGGUGAUGUAAGACAGAUGUGAAAUCCCCGGGCUCAACCUGGGAACUGCAUAUGUGACUGCAUCGCUGGAGUGCGGCAGAGGGGGAUGGAAUUCCGCGUGUAGCAGUGACAUGCGUAGAUAUGCGGAGGAACACCGAUGGCGAAGGCAAUCCCCUGGGCCUGCACUGACGCUCACGCACGAAAGCGUGGGGAGCAAACAGGAUUAGAUACCCUGGUAGUCCACGCCCUAAACGAUGUCAACUGGUUGUUGGGUCUUCACUGACUCAGUAACGAAGCUAACGCGUGAAG